GACGAACGCUGGCGGCGUGCUUAACACAUGCAAGUCGAACGGGAUUUCGUAAACAGAAGCCUCGGUGGAAGAUUACUAAUGAGAGUGGCGAACGGGUGAGUAACGCGUGAGCAACCUGCCUAUGACAGUGGGAUAGCCUCGGGAAACCGGGAUUAAUACCGCAUAAAAUCGUAGAAACACAUGUUUUAACGGUCAAAGAUUUAUCGGUCAUAGAUGGGCUCGCGUCUGAUUAGCUAGUUGGUGAGAUAACAGCCCACCAAGGCGACGAUCAGUAGCCGGUCUGAGAGGAUGAACGGCCACAGUGGAACUGAGACACGGUCCAAACUCCUACGGGAGGCAGCAGUGGGGAAUAUUGCACAAUGGGGGAAACCCUGAUGCAGCGACGCCGCGUGAACGAAGAAGGUAUUCGUAUCGUAAAGUUCUGUCCUAUGGGAAGAUAAUGACAGUACCAUAGAAGAAAGCUCCGGCUAAAUACGUG
rnacentral:rRNA from 1 species